UACGUAGGGUGCGAGCGUUGUCCGGAAUUAUUGGGCGUAAAGGGCUCGUAGGCGGUUUGUCGCGUCGGGAGUGAAAACCUCGGGCUUAACUCGGGGCUUGCUUUCGAUACGGGCAGACUGGAGGUAUGCAGGGGAGAACGGAAUUCCAGGUGUAGCGGUGAAAUGCGUAGAUAUCUGGAGGAACACCGGUGGCGAAGGCGGCAUCCUGGACCAACACUGACGCUGAGGGAGCGAAAGCCAGGGGAGCAAACGGG
rnacentral:rRNA from 1 species